rnacentral:tRNA from 1 species
AAAUAUGAAGCAAUUUUUGCGAUUAGUUUCGACCUAGUUAAAAGGUGUUAAUUCACCCUUAUUUU